ensembl:lncRNA
ACUUACAGCGCCGUAUAGCAGCCCUGCUCCUACAUUUUGCUGCCUUACUCUGCCCCGAAUGCACUGGAGUGGGGAUGGUCCGUCAUUAACUAUAAACUGAUUCUCAUCAGGAAACUGCACAUUAUCUCACCAUCACUUCAAAGGUCUCGUCAGGCAGAGGUGACGCCAAGAGAUGAUUUAAAGGUGAAAAUGACAAGGUUUCCAGCCCUCAAACCUUGGUUCCUUUUCUGACAAUACAGUCUGAACGAACCCAAUGUCUUCUUUACUGUGGAAAUAGCAUCGGAAGAGAAAAACAUAUAUUUUUUUUUAAUCCUGAUAAAGAAGAUUAUUGGGAAGCUCUUUCAAAAAAAAAAAAAAAUCUCGAAUUGUGGCACAGAUGGAUUUUAGAAAGUGUUAGAGCUUUCCAAUGAACACUAAUAGAGUACUCUGCUCCUGGCUGGAUUUUUCAGAGAAUGGCAAUGGUCUCUGCAAUGUCCUGGGUCCUGUAUUUGUGGAUAAGUACUUGUGCAAUGCUGCUCUGCCAUGGAUCCCUUCAGCAUACUUUCCAGCAGCAUCACCUGCACAGACCAGGUAAGUCAGAAGCUGGCUCUGAAGCAGCCUCCAGUCUCACUGAUGUCUUCCAACAGAUAAUUGAAGGCAAGUGACAGAAAAUGCUACAGUGUGGGCAGUUUGCCUAUGAAUUCCAAGACGUAUUGUCAGCUUGAUGCUUUGGGGAAGGGGGGGUGCAUACUAAAAUGCCUUGAAAGUAUUUCUAAUCACUUCUCAGAAAAGGUGGUUUUCUCUGAGGCCCUCCUACCCCCUUGCACACACCUUAUAAGUAGUAAUUGUUUCUGGAUAUUUUGACCAAUAGUGAAAUAUUCUGAAAAAGGUGGGAUAACUUCCAAGACUUGAGGAUUUUUUUUAAAGAGGCAAAAAUAUGAUCUUUGCAACUGACAAAAUAAUGUGUCCCUGUUCCUGGGAUGCAUUUUUAUCUAGUAUAGGUACCGUAAUCUCUGUGUGUAUGUGGCUAAGGAUUCUGUGGAGAUUUUAGUGCCAAAAUUAACUUUGGAAGUAGUUUGUCAGUGAAAAAGAAAUUAAAAAGUAACUUACUAUUUCUUGUCUGGUUUAAUUUGUCUCCUCUCCUUUCUCCUUUCCUUCUCUUUCUGUUCUUCCGGUGUGCUCAGUGCCUUUUCCCCCCCUCUCUUUCCGCAGUUUUGGGGACAAGUUCCCUUUAGAGUGAUUUUCCUCCCUAGAUUGAAUUUUGAGUUCCAGACGCAUUUUGCUUCCUUCGUUUUUCUGUUCAAAGUAUACUUCUUGCAUUUCCAUGGCCUCACUCUUCAAUCUGGAUCUUUCUCUACUCCUUUGCCUCUCCAGCUUUCUCACUACCAUUCCCCCAGCUCAAUUAACCUCACCGGCCCUGGUUCUCGGAAAGAUUGCCUUCCAUUUUUUGCUUAGCUUCAGCCUCCGUAUCCAUUUACUCCACUUCCACCUUCGUAUCAUCACCCGCCACCCCUCCCACCCGAUCGCCAAGUCCGUCUCCUGGGCUCAGGGGGCCAGUUGCGCGCCCAAGGUCUGAUCCUUUCUUCUUUAGUACUCCCAACUAGCUUUCCCCCGCCCCCGGCCGCCCCACUUCUAUCCCCCCCCCACCCCCCAGCCUCCACCUUUUUCCAAAUCCUUUCUGGCCUCUUCCCAUCCACCCGGCUUCCUCCAGCUGCGUGGUCCAGCAUCUACGUCUCUGCCUUUCCCUGGCUCCGCAGCCAGCCUGGGCAUCGAUCCUGGGCUUUUCGGCACUAUCCUCCAGCCACACCUCUCGGGGUGCUGCUUGCUGCCUCCCAGGCUCCGCUUCGUGAGUCAGGGUAGGAUCGAAACAGCGCGGGUGCAGCCCGGGUCCUCCAGCGUGGGCUGCAGGCGAGCGCGCCAGCGUGCAGGAUGCUGGACCUUGAGCCGCUCAGAGAGGAGGGGUUUGGCGGUGGCUGUGUUCCGGAGCAGAGGCCCUGGUCUGCCUCUGGGCCCCAGUCGCCCUUGUUCUCCACGCCCCGGGUCAGGAGGGAAGGAGAGGGGCCUCUGGUCCCCCUGCAGGUGGGCAAGAAAACCGCUCCGCAGAUGCUGCGCGCUGGUGUUUCUUUCUCGCGUGUCCUGAGCCUGGAGCUGCCAACACCAGAGUCCGAGGCUCCAGUGCAGAAAAGGAAAAAAAAAAAAA